UGAGUAAUGUCUGGGAAACUGCCUGAUGGAGGGGGAUAACUACUGGAAACGGUAGCUAACACCGCAUAACGUCGCAAGACCAAAGAGGGGGACCUUCGGGCCUCUUGCCAUCAGAUGUGCCCAGAUGGGAUUAGCUAGUAGGUGGGGUAACGGCUCACCUAGGCGACGAAUCCCUAUCUGGGUCUGAGAGGAUGACCAGCCACACUGGAACUGAGACACGGUCCAGACUCCUACGGGAGGCAGCAGUGGGGAAUAUUGCACAAUGGGCGCAAGCCUGAUGCAGCCAUGCCGCGUGUAUGAAGAAGGCCUUCGGGUUGUAAAGUACUUUCAGCGGGGAGGAAGGUGUUGAGGUUAAUAACCUCAGCAAUUGACGUUACCCGCAGAAGAAGCACCGGCUAACUCCGUGCCAGCAGCCGCGGUAAUACGGAGGGUGCAAGCGUUAAUCGGAAUUACUGGGCGUAAAGCGCACGCAGGCGGUCUGUCAAGUCGGAUGUGAAAUCCCCGGG
rnacentral:rRNA from 1 species